rnacentral:lncRNA from 1 species
AGUUUGGUGCUGAGUGCUCUGGACGCCCCAGCAGGGCCGGAGAAAAUCUGCAGAGGCAGCAGCAACUGACCCUAACAGAGCAAGAGGCCUGACCUUCACACCUAUGUAACCCAAGGUCACAGAAAUGCUGAGGGGCCAUGUGACUCCAGUGAAGCAGGAGUAUCCAUCCAGCCACAGAGAUGGGACCUGUCCAAAUGGGACCUGUCUGUUCCAAAGGUUAUUCUGCUUGUUCUGGAGACUGGGAAUUCCAAGAGCAUGAUACCAGCAUCUGGCGAGCGUUAUCCCCUGGUAGGAAGUAUCACAUGCUACAAGUAAAGCACUUGGAAUGGUAGAGUGCUUCCCUCAAUGGAUGGAAGGAGACUGGAUCCCUCUGACACUGACUGGAAGAGCUCUGCUAAGCAAAGCUGCGAGCUCAUGAAAGACUGUGAGGAGAGUAAGAGGUACUGGAAAAUUUAAAAGAUGAAGGAGGUGGAGUCAUUUUUUCCUAAGGAGCUGGGAGAGGAGAUAAGAAAUGGGAUCAAAUAAUGAACAACAAGUUUCAAAGGGAUCAGAGUCCAAUAAAACCUGCCGCCUGAGCUCUUAAGAGAGAAAUGGAAAUCGUAGUUGUGAACAUCAGGCUUUCUAGAAGUGGCUGUACCAACAUCAGCCUUGAAAGAGCUCAAUCCAGCAGAUCCUGUCCCACUUGGAACCUGGCUAUGAGUGAGAAAACAUCUGUGGUUGGAAAAUGGGGCUGGUGAUUCAGGCCUGUUUGGGAAGAAGAUGCUCUUGAAUGCUUUGCUCAACAAACACCUCCCUUCUGCAAGGAGGUGAGAGGUCAUCUGUCUGUCUACUUUGACACUUUCACCCACUGAACUUCAGGGCUUAAGACACCUUCCCCAUAAAUUGGAGUGAGCGCGGCACAAACUGUCCCUGAAUUUGACCAUAACUGACUCACCAAAGGUCUGAGUAGGGGAGAAGGCAAAAACAGACAAACAGGCACUGAGGACUUUGCCAUCCCAGACCUGUGUCAUGUAAACAGGCUGUCUGCUUCACAGCCAAGGAAUGAGCCCUGGACGUGGGUCGGAACUGGAGCCUUAACAGCUAAUACCCAGAGCCUUUGACUGUGGACGACUGUGUUCAAAGGGGCAGGCUGCCCACUACUAGGGCAUGGAGGAGAGGCAGGAUGUGGGGAAAGAGUGUGGUUUUGGAAUCAGACACAACUGGUCCCCGCCACUUACUCAGCCUUGUGACCUCAGAUGAAAAAGUCUCUUAUUCUUACUAAGGCUCAGUUUCCCCAACUGUGAAACUGACAUAACACUAUGGACUUCAAAAGGCUUUACAAGCAAAACAAUUUAUAAAACAAUUUAUUCAACAAUUUAUUCAGGCACUUAGCACAGUGCUAGCACAUAGAUAUAAGUAACAGUUUUUUUUCUCUGUUCCUUCUACGUGGAGGAGAGGCAUCUGUUGUCUCUUCAAGUUAAUUAAUUUGAAAAUAUCCAGUAGCAACCAUUUCUUAAAUUCCUCUUACGAGCCAUUUAGUUUUGCAACAACUGCAAGAUAGACAGUAUUAUUCCCAUUUUACAGAUAUGGACAUUGAAGCUCAGGAGGUACACCGGAUAUAGUGACUUUGAUCUUCUCAUUGCCCUGACACUGAUGAGAGAGAGAUAACAAAAUCAAAAAGAACAGUUGGAGGAAUAAAUGUCAAAUAUAGGAGGCUGGAAGCAUAGUCUCUAACCUCAGUCUAGCCUCGGAUAAUAGCAUUUUCAUCUUGCUACAGCAGUAGCAGACACCAGCUGGGUGCCUUCUCCCUAUUUUAUUCAUUUGUAUGUUCAUUGAGCAAUUUAUCUAUUGCUAAUUCCUUAGCAAGCAUUUACUGUGACCUUCCUUUUAUUAUUACUAUUAUUAUUAUUCAUUUUAGAGACAGGGCUAUGCCAUUAUGUUGCCUACGCUGGAGGGCAGUGGUUAUUUACAGGUGUGAUGCCGCUACUGAUCAGCAUGGGAGUUUUGACCUGAUUCAUUUCUGAUCUGGGCCCAUUUGCCCCUCCUUAGGCAACCUGUGAUGCCCCACUCCCAGGAAGUCACUGUAUUGAUGCUGAACUUAGUGUGGGCACUUCAUGGGCACAGCACACUACAGCCCAGAACUCCUGGGCUCAAGUGAUCCUUCCACCACAGCUUUUCCAGCAGCUGGGACUACAGGUACAUGCCAUUGUGCUCAGCUACUGUGUACUUCCUAUGUCCUCAAAUCCUGCUACUCAAAACAUAAUUCCUAAGCCAGAAGCAUCAGCAUCACUGAGAGCUUAUUAGAAAUGCUGAUUCUCAGGCCUAACCUCGGACCAACUGAACCAGAGAAUCUGCAUUUUAACAAGAUCCCUGGGUGAUUCACAGCAUAUAUGAAAGAUUGAAAAUUGCUAUCCUUGAUGCUUUUCUUUUUUUUUUUUUUUUUUUGAGAUGGAGUCUCACUCUGUCACCAAGGCUAGAGUGCAAUGGCAUGAUCUUGGCUCACUGCAACCUCCGCCUCCCGGUUCAAAUGAUUCUCCUGUCUCAGCCUCCCAAGUAGCUGGGAUUACAGGCACGUGCCACCAUGCCCAGCUAAUUUUUGUAUUUUUAGUAGAGAUGGGGUUUCACCAUGUUGGCCAGGCUGGUCUUGAACUCCCGACCUCAGGUGAUUCACCUGCCUCGGCCUCCCAAAGUGCUGGGAUUACAGGUGUGAACCACCACACCUGGCCUCCUUGAUGCUUUUCUAUCUUGGUGAAAUACUUAUUGGGAGGACUCCCAGUACUGCUACCUUCCUUAUUGUGAGUAGAAAAAAACUGAAAAAGUCAAAGUGUUUUUUCAAUUCUCUCACUCAACAAUAAUCACCACUGAAGACUCCUGUGACCAACUCUGUGGGGAUUUCUCCUCACCAACAAGCAGUCAGUUCUGUAGCAGACACCAGCUGGGUACCCUCCAAUCCAAUUCAAUUCUGAUGUUACCUACCUGGAGGUAGCGUCAGAUGCCACAGGUUGAGGGCUCAGUCCCACGUGACUGCCCCUAACUUAUGAUACCAGUCAAAAGCCCCAGGUUGUUUUAUUUGUGCUUCUGACUGACCGUCUAUAAGUCAGGGAUCCCCUGAACCCCUUUUUGUGUGUGAUUAAUUUACUGGAGCAGAGCUUACAGAACUCAAGGAAACACUUAACAUUUACUGGUUUAUUAUUGUAUUAGUUCGUUUUCAUGCUGCUAAUAAAGACAUACCUGAGACUUGGUAAUCUAUAAAGGAA